UGCUGGCAGCAGAAAUAUUUUGUUCUUGUUGAUUCACAGAGAUUAGCUGACACUAAAUGACUGAAGCUGAGCUGGGACUGACUUGUAUGUCUGAUCUCCGUGUGCUCUGUCUGAAACAAUCUUCAUUUUUUUCCUGUGUGAGCUUCAGAGUUUUGUUCAGAGGCAAGUCCCUGAAACCUAACUUCCCAAGGAACUCAUGAGUGGUUUUUCUGGAUUUAUUCAUUAUAGAGUGGAUCCUUCGUUCCCAGUUUGGAUGCUUAUGAAGAAUAUAUGGUCAGAUAAUUGGAGAGAAUUGAGAUUGUGUUACCAGCCCUCAGUAACCCAUGGUGACUGAUGCACUCUUAGUGUAGUUUGGCUUGUCUUUCCCGUGCAGCUGCUUGCUGCUGUCUGCACCCUCAUUGUGACUGCCCUUCCUGAGGACAAGGGACCAGCCCUGAAGCCUGAAAGUAGCUUCUGAAUUUCUGCACUCUUAAAUUUGCUUUUAUUGGUUGGGAUAUGUUAUUGAAGUAAAUUCCUAGUAGGAUAUUGAAUAUUGCUGAAUGCUGGGGUUUCUUUCUCUUUUUGAGCUACGCUUUAAUUAGUCCUCUUUUUUAUCGUUUAAAUCAUAUUACAAUACUAUGAAUCAGUGUUUAUUUUGGAAGAGGAAACUAAAUCUAUCAAAGCAAUUAGAAAACUAGAGGCUUUUCUGAGCUGGUGAGCAGCCUUGGGCGGGGGGGUUGUUGCUGUUGCUGCAGACAAGUUUUUAGAAAAGUCUCUGGGUAAGAUGCAGAUCAUUGCCACAGCCCUUGCUGACAAAACAUGCCGUAAAAGCAGAAUCCCGUUGCUUAGCGACUUACAAGAGAUGAUUAACCCUUUGCAGCACGGGCAAUCAUUCGCCUAUAGGAUGACGUGCAAUUAUCACAAGGGCAGGAUCAUACAGUGACAGUAAAGAUGGAGUAAAAAGUGACUAAAAAUAAUCAGAGGUUAUGAUAUUUAACAGUACUGCCAGUAUUUUUUCAUAUGACAUCAAGCAUUUCUAGAAUUUCUGCUUGGUUUAAAGACUGACUCUGUCUUGAUACUGCCCAUGCACAGGAAGCCUUAAAGCAGAGAGUGGUAGUGACAGUAGGUAGGGAAGUUCCUCACCUCUCAUCUCCUUCCAGUGCAACAGGGAAAUUCUGAAGACCAUUUCAGGCUAAAAUACUCUCCUUUUAAUUAAAAGCAGUACUAAUCUCUGAGGUUGACGGGCUGAAAAAUUUCAAUUUCCUUCUCUGAAGAGGGCCUAGAAUUCAGUAAGAGUGGAUAAGCAGGAAUGUUUGGGUGUGUGGUGGUUGUGCGCUGCGGUGCAGAAGUUUUCUAUAUGUUGUCACUAAGAUGUUCCAGCACUUGAGUUGAUAAGUUCUUGAGAUGUGAUCACUUGGACAAUAUUCAUCUCAUCCAGCUUGAGCUGUCUUAAAAAUGUGUGGAGUCUAGACAUCUAUAGGCAGAGCGAAGGGAGCAGUUGCACUGGGUAAUUCAUUACCCAGUCUCUUUUCAGCACAUCCGGGGUGGGCUGGGCUGCCCUGGUUUGCCCCUUUGGAAAGCAAUGUAGAAAGACCAGUUUGUGUUGUGGCCUGUGGGGAGUGCUGGGUGAGAGGAACACAAGCCUCUGAUUUUAGCAGUAUCUUGUGUGGCAUUAUUUCCACAAGGAUGAUUUUCUAGUGUUCAGUAUGCUGCUUAAUAACAGUGAAACAGGGUUUUCAACUGCCGCUGUGGAAAAACACUCAUAUGGGAACAAAGGUCAAGGCACAGACAGAGGAUUUUAAAUUGCAAAGGCCUGCCUUUGUGAAAUUAACCAGUAAUAAAGUCGAGAAUUGCCCUGAAGCAAGAAACACUGAGUUUCACCUCUCCCCCUUGUAAUUUUGCAGCCGCAGCAAUUAAUUUCUGUAACUAUUGGCCCCAGUUCUGGUAGCUGCAGAAUAGAUUGGGGCUGUUGGCUGCUGAGAACAGUUGCUGCAUACACAUUAAGCAUAUAUGUGAUUGAUGGACUUUGUGCAUCAUCAUCCCCAGCGCUUUUGUGUAUUUGCUGCCAUUAAUGGAGAAAAUUAUCUUAGCUAGACACAAUUCGUAUUUGAAAGCGUGAAGAUUGCAUGCUCUUCUUGUUUGCUGAAGGGUUAACUGUGACCUUAACAGAGAUGUAGAAUCAAUCCAGAUGACAACUUGCUGUGAACACAGCCUUUCCUGCUGUACAUCUGAAUGCCAUCCCUGUAUCUCACUGUCUUUGGUCAGUAUGAUUUUGUAUGGUCCUAGCAGGGCAAACACAGAAACUGCUGGAGAGCUUGUUAUCUUGUUUCACAAACGUGUUCACCUGAUGCAUUUAAGGCUUUCAAGCUCCAGAAGGCACCCAGUGUGACAAACAAGCCGAGUGCAGGCCACUUGGUGUUUUGCAGCGCAGCUUUUCUUACAAAUCUCCAUGCCACUGCGAGAUCUCUAGGGAGAUUAACACUGUAACAGAGGCACAAACAAACGCAGAUAUUUCUGAGUUGUUAGCCAGAUUUUUUUACUGCUGUUUUGAACAUACUCUCUUAACUCACCAGCAGCAAAAAAACUCCUACCUCUGAUGUCUGAGCUAUUUUCCUUUAGCUAGUGCAAGUAAGGAGACACAGCUUGCAAAUUGGGAUGUUGUGGCAUUUCACUAGAAUGGAUGGAUUCAGCCUGUCUGAAAUGCAGUUUCUCCUGGAGCAUAUCAAGAGAAAAUAGCCAUCUAUCUUCCCUUCGUGCUUGCUGCUGUGUCACAGAGAGGGACAGAAUGCAUUAUUAGCCCAGCCUUGUACCACUCCUUGCAUGAAUCAGUCAUGCGAGUUACAGUUCUUUGGUUAGGAACUGGUAAUCCUAGGCUCAUGCAUGUUUGUUUUAGGGCAGAGAAGAGCCAGGGGAAGUGUGAAAUAAAUGCCUAUGUGCAAAAAAGUCCAACAACCUGUUUGUUCCGGAGGAGAGACAAGAAUUAAAAUAUGUUUCCUGGGGAUUAGGAGGGGAAGGGCCACAGUUCCCCACACUCUCUGGUGAGAGAACAGCACCUGCAGUCCUGCUCCUCUCUCCCCGGUCACUGAGACUGGAAAUGGAAUAAAUACCCAAUGCAUUAAAUUCUAGUCAUGAGAAUGGGGAAAUAAAAGUCAACUAAUCAAGAAAUUAUUGAUUUUUUUUUUUAAUUUGUUCUUGAUUAAUAUGUAGCCAUCCCUUGCCAUGCUUGAAUACACUUGCAAACACAAAAUGUGAGACAGGCAGUAAGGAGUGACUGAACUCAUUUUCACAUUCUUUAAUUGCAGCAAAAAGUAUACUGUCUGUUGACCAUAUCUGAUGUGGAAGGUUUGCAUGCCCAGGUGUUCAUCACGAGGGAUGGAUAUGUGAUUCCAGGUGAAGCUGUUGCUUUCAGUGCUGUCAACAGUGAGCCCUGGGGAGCUUGCUCUUUCAGUCAGAUGACAGCUAGUGACAGAUUUCUUAAUAUUUGUUACAGUGUUGAUGCCUUUAACUGUAUAGCACAUCAGGAGAAAAAGAUUCACUGUUCUGAUUCAGCUGUACCUGGCCUUUUCGUUCUCACCAUCUUAGCUUAAUGGGGUAGCUUUUAAAUGUAAAGCCUGUGACAUGAGAUUAUUUAAUUAAAAUGUAAACAGCUGUAUUUUGAAUUCAUCAUGCUUCAGAGCUAAAAUGAACUUUAAUGCCAUGAUGCUACAGAACCCAGCAAUUUUUACAAAUAUAACUUCAGUACAAAGUCACAGAAAGCUUAACUGUCCUCAGGCACAGCACAGGGGGCUAUUCUGCCACAUUUUUCAAAUUUUUAUGCUUUAUUUUGUGCAGUUUUCUACCCUUUAAGUUGUUUUCCCUCCUACCCGCUCAGAACCUAAUGAAAAUGUUAUGCUAUUUUUUGAUGGUAAAGAAGCCUCCCAGUCUUAAAUGCUUAACCCUGUGAUGGAAGUAGAAACUUCGCUCUUCUGCAGAGAAGGAAACCAGGCACUGGGAGGCCUACUGAUCUGAAGAAGUCCCUCACAGAAAUCCACAGCAGACUGAGGGAGACAUGUUUGUGGUUGCCCUCCUGACACGCCUCGAAGCCUUGCUCUCAGAUUUGCUAUUUGAACUUGCACGUAAGUUAUCCCUCAUGCUGGAAGCACGGCUGUUACUAGGAAUGUGCCCCGUGUCCAAUCAAAAGGCAACAAGAUCCAGAAAGAGAAAACCCAUGAGUUUGGAUGAAUAUGCACUAGUUGCAGAGUGCUGUUUUUUCCACUCAGUUACAGAUACCUCUGGGUGCCCAUGCAGACUGCAGCUAACAUGGUGACUUGACAGACUGCUGCUGUGCUCUCCCAGUAGCACAAAGCAGAGCCUAGAGUCCCAUCUUAAUUUCACUUAAGAAAUAGCAAAUGGUCACUGUGUCUGUAAAUCUCCAUCAACUUUUUUAUUCUCAGUGACUGGGUAAAAAUCUUGCUGCAUUUUUUGUUAUAGAGUAGAACCUACUUUCUAUCUAGGGUCUUCUUGCGGGCUGUCAAGUGCUAGCAGAGACCAAAGAAAGGCAACUCUUUGGCAACUCAGUUUCUUUCUGCUGGCAUAGAGAUUACAGUGAAGGGGUGUCAGGUAGUCACAGAUGUUUAAGACUGUUGGCCCCUUGCACUCCUUAGUUUCUUCAAAGUCUCCAUGUGAGGCCCUUGGCUAGAAGACGAGUGAGUGUUGAUUAAGAACAACCCAGAUUUUUGUCUUAAUAAUUAAAGAGCAUGUGCUGUUUCUUCACAGAGGUAUUUCAAGGCCCCUAUAAACUUAGAUGGUAUUACAAUACAGAGCCUGGAGACAGUGUUUUGCAACCAUUACUCAGAGAAUUAGGUAACUUUUUAUGGAUACUAAAGCCAGCUCCAUUAACAAGGCUUACCUGUCUGGUUUUGAGAAAUUUCUGGUGGUGGUGGUAGAGGCAAUAGUUGAUAGUUAUGAUUCUGUCUAAAAACUGAUUUUUAUUCUAUCAAGAGGUAGAAAAUACUUUGGGAUGAUGUUAUAGUAUUUCCUAGAACAUAAUUCCAAGAAAGUACAUAUGUAACAAAUGCUAAAUAAUGAGAAGGGGAUUCUAUCAGCAGAUUAAAUAUAUAAUUGCUAUUGAGGAAGAUCAGAGUCCCAAGGAAUACAUGACUGAAUUUGAUAGUAGACAAAGAUGGUCAUAGAAACCAAAAGUCUCCCAGUUACAGAUAUUCAGUGCUCUUAUUGUGAUCUGGACCACCUAAAUCAGUCUGAUGAACAUUACCACUAGUUUUGAAGUGCUUUUUGACACCUUAAUCCAUAUGAGCACUUUUAUUUUCCUGAUCCAUUUUCAGAAGCAUGUAAUAGCGAAGUGUUUGUCUUCAGAUGUUGCAGAGGGUUUUGUGUCCCGGGAUCCUGGCUAUAGCUCACAGCUUGGAGCACAGAUAAUACCCAAUAAUGAGGCAGUGUGAUGUCAGAUACAAUGGCAUGGGUUAUUUGUAGAGAACAGCUGAUUUAGUUUCUUUCCUUCAGUCCCUGAAUGAUGUACUGUGAGGUUUUGACUGCCAGAGAUCUGCGUGUGUGAAAUGCCAAUGAUUGUUUUAUGCAAAUGGGUUUCAUGCUCUGGAUUGCCUAUAAGCAAUUCAGGGAAAUUAUUUCUCAUUAUUUGCCAUUUCAGCUGAGUGAAAGGCCUUGCAAGCUACAGAGCAUUGAGUCUGAUUCCUGAACGAACAGCUUUCAGAUUCGUGUGGAGCACACAAGAUGGCCUUUUAGUAGGGCUAUAUGCACAUUCUCCACACAAGCCCUGAUGAAAACAUGUUUCUCGUGCUUUCCACUUCUGCAGUGUGUUCUUGCUGGUGUUUGCUUAUCACUUGCAAGGAAUGGGAGUGUUGCCUGGUCUGUCAGACAGAGCGCUGUGGGUGCUUCUUGGCAGCGUGUCCCUGCUGUAGGUUUGGGAACCGCUGGUACAGAAGCGGGCGGUCGGUGCUGUGCUGUCCAUGGUGCUGCUGAGUCGGGGGAGCGACCAACUCGGUUCUGAGGGUGCUGCUUCAGAGGGGGGAGUGCGAGAGGGUAAUUCAUUUGUGGCAGUCGUAGCUCUAAAUAGGAAAUGAUUAAUAUUUCAUGAUUAUCUUUCUGUAAGGCAUGGGUCUUUGGAGAAUGCAUCAGUCUGACUUGCUUAGAGAAUUAUUAGAGAAUGAUCCUGCCUUACUUAGCUUCAAAUCAAAAUGUAGUCAGGCAGUGCAUGCAAAUAUCCUUAUAUUAAAUGAGAACUCUCUGGCUGUCUGACUAAUGCUCUGCUGUCAAUACGUCAGUAAAAAGUGAACACUUAACUUUUAGAAAUUUCUGUUUCAUUCUCCGGUCUUACAAGUCAGCUGUCUUUUUCUCUCCACUUGAUCUAAGUUUUACAAAAGGAAUAAUGAAAAACUCUUCUAUGAGAUCAUGAAUGUUAACCAAUCACAUAAAUUGCAGCAUCCUUGAUUCUGAUGGAAGCUGUUCUAUUUUUUCUUAUUUAUUUUUUACUUUUCUUGAGUCAUGAGCAAACCUUAAAAUACAAGAGCUGCACAGAAAGCAAUACCUCCUAUUUUAAUAUGUGAGUCCAUGAUAUCAGAGGCAGAUGGUGGUGGUAUGGCAAUAGAGACUGAACCUUUCUUCCAGUAUUCCACUACAUUUUGUUGCCGUGUGAUAGAUGGCAGCAGAGGGGAAGUUUGACAAAAUGGUGUCUGACAUGGAAGUGCAUAUGAAGCAAAGGGGUGUCACCGAGGUAGUGGGUGGUGUGUUUCAGCAGUGGCGACAGCAGAUCAUCUCCACUGGUACUAAUUUUGAUGAGUAUGAGAUGCAGGCUCUUGUUCAUCCCUGGUGAAAAUGCUGAGCUAAUGCUAGUGAGUUUGUUGGAAAAAAAAGCAGAUGAGAAUUUGCUCUAUGAAAUAGUGUUAUUGUGCUCUUUGUAUCCAUUGUCGUUUCCAUGGUAAUGAAUAAGUGGCAGUACUUACAGAGUGACCUACGUAUUUCAGGACUGUUUUUUAAGAAAGACUUACGGCAUAUUGUAGCAGGAAGCUGUUAUGCACCAUCAAUCAGCAUGGAAAAAAAAGUGGGACAGAUUCCUACUUAGGUGUAUAGGUUCUAUUCAUUAAUCUGACUUAAGCCAGACCAGAGGAAAUGACACAAAAGAUGAUGUGUAUUCCCUCAGACUAUUGUAAUGGCUUAAUCCUUGUGCAAACAGCAAUACUGCAAUAUAAAUAAUUCACGGCAGAUUCUUCUGGUCCUAAUCAGUGUUUCAUUUUCUUGGACACAGUAGAAAAAACUACAAAAACAUGAUAAAAAAGAAUUAAGAUUGCAGAGAAAUUAGGUGUUAAGAAGUGUCAUCAUUAAGGUGGUCUGUGAGAUGUGGAUUUUACUACCCUCACCCCACAUCCAUGCACACACUAUGCUUGUUCUUAAUUACAUUCACAUCUACCAAUUUCAUUUAUACAAUGAAGUGGAUAUACAUAAAUAAGUGAAAAAAAAGUACUGGUUCUUUCUAGGAUGCUAUUAUGAUUAGAAUCUGUUUUCUGUCAUAACUGUCUCAGGUUUUUAAGAGCUGUCUAUAGUCUCUGAGGCAGAAAGGUGUAUGUGGGAAUGCAAGACAGUUCUAUACUCAUGCAACAAUUGUAAAUAAGUUUUGGAAAGAAAUGGUUUGCCAUUCUUGAAAUUCCUUGAGAGCUCACUGAGACAUAGGGUCAUCCCAGAAAUUUCAUCUUCAUUAUCAAAGGAUUCAAAAACUUAAAAACAAACAAACAAAAAACAAACAAAAACAAAAACAAAAAACCAAAAAACAACUUUUGUCUAAAAAACCCCAAGCACCUAAUAAAAUAAUGCCUUUGAGGUACGUGUAUUUUUCUGUAGGUUCAAGUAAACUUAUCUGAUGAUCCCUCUUUUUUAGGCUGAUAUGUCAAGCAAGACUUGCUCAGCAUUAUUAAAAUUCAUAUCGCUUUAUGAAUUUAAGACUUAAAUCAGCACAAUGCAAAAUAUGAAAUCAAAAGCUACUCUGUAGGUCACAGUAGACUUCAGAUAAUAAGCAAUAUUACCAUGGGAAGAUACCAUAUUUACGAGUGAAUUGUAGGUACCAGCAGAGAUGUUGCUUUCAAUGAUCCAUGUGGCAAUCAAAUUUGCAUGUUUGUUUUAUGAAUUGAGUGCCUGAAAGAUAUUAUCUGUUGGUGGGGUUUUUUUGUUGUUGUUGUUGAGAUUCUUUCUCUUAAAGUGUCAAUUGUGGCAAGAGCACUGAUUGAACUGUUUUAAUGAUUAUGAGUGAGGUUUUGUUUUGUUUUGUCUGGUGCCAUUGGCACAGAAAAGCCUCUGCAGUUCUUCUUUGUUUCCAAGUUGACGCUGUCUUCAUGCUGCUGUCAGUACAGUCUCUGUUACUUUUGACAGCCAUGGUUCAAUGUAAAACUAGAACUAAGAAUAUUCAAUUGUAUUGUAAAUCUUAGCAAAAGGCCAUUGUUCAUCAAACCCUGACUUCUCAAAACACAUAAGCAUGUUUUUAUUUUUAUUAAGACAAAUGAGUUUGGUUUUAUGCAUCUGAACCAUGUACUGCCAAUCCUCCUGUUUUAACACCUUUUAAAAACAAAUAAAUGGCUAUAAUUUGGCUGUUUGCUUCAUGGAUAAAAAUCAGGGAAAACUGAUGUUUUGUAAGUGUGUGGUGUAUGGAUUGUUGUGUAUGGAUUCAAUCCUAGGAGCAGGUUCUGCAUUUCUGCUUCCUUACAAGUUAAUUAUGCUGGGAUUCACUCUGUUAUGCUUCUCACAUGAAUUUAUUUUACCUAAGAUUUCUCUUAUAUUGUAAGCCUCAUUUCAUACAUUUAAUAUCACUGUUUAUCAGCUUAAUUACCACCCCACCCCUUUGGCACAGAUCCUGAAAGUGAGACUCAAGAUUCCUGCCUCAGCCCUUGGACCAUCUGCUUUUUCCAGUUCAGAUACGCUAGAUGUAGUCUCCAGAGGAGCUUUCGUUUUCUCAGCUGCACUGGCUGGUAUACUGCAGCUGCAUCCAGGAGAACCAAGCCCUUUCUUUCUCUUCCCAAUGUCUACCAUGUCUCCUUGGGUUGCAGUUCUUCCUUGACAUUUCUUCUGUGCAACAGUUGACAAAAACCUCCCUGCAUGGUCAAUAAUCCAUUUAGUUCAUCAGGCAAGAUCUCCAGGGCCAGAUGGUAUCUGGUCUUUUGAUUCAGCUUUGAGAUGUACUAGUGGAAAACCACAGGCAGACAAAAGCUCCCUGUUGACUACAUAUCUACGCAGGAGCACACGCAAACCACGCUCUAGGUAACACUGACAGUAAUUCAUUGCAGUGCUUUGUGACCUGAUUUUAAAUAGCUGCAACAAAUUGUUUUUGCCUUGAAUUACAAAUAAUUUAUUUUGGGCAAACCAGGCCACUUUUAUGGGAUCCAGCAUCAUGCCAAGUGUGGUAGGUACAGAUGACAGGAUGCCUGUCCUUCUCUGGAAGGUAGCUGCUAAGUCCCUGAGGGAUGCAGCUCAUGUUUGUGAGCUGCUCCUGGCUCUGGACUCCUCUGUGCAUGCAGACCUGUUGCUGGGGGGAUGGCUGUGGGUGCUGGCUGCAGCAUAAGGUUGCAAGACUGCUCCAAAAAUCUGGUGCUAUAAGUCUGGUGGGAAAGACAGCAUGCUGACCCAGACCUUCCCCCUCAAGAGAUCAUCACUGAACACUGGGAUGUUUUAGGAAGGCAAUUUCCUAGGAUAGUGAAAUAGAAGAGGUAGAAAAAUUACAGCAGUAUGUGUAGAAAGGGAGAGGCCUGGCUCCCAUGAGCAGCUCUGGCUCUGCCCCUGCCUGCUGUCCCUCACCUGGGGAACCUGCUUGGUCUUGAAGCUGCAGGAUGUGGAAUAAGGAUAGAAUUGGGGAAGAUACUGCCAGCAUCAUGUAAUUCAAUGUCACUACCAUCAGGCAAGGUCAAAAUAAUAUUACCUAAGUUCCUAUGCUCACUGAUGCCUGUGGCAGCAAAAGCCAGUUUUCCCUACUCAGUUCAAAUGCCCUGUGUGAAGGCUUUUUCAGAGUGAAAGAUUCUCAGCCAGGGCUCUUUCAGAUGGAAGCCAAUAAAUCCUUCUGGAGAAAUGCAUUUCCUGCAGCCAGAGCCUUGUUGGCAGAUUCUGACAGGCCAAACACGAGUAUACAGCAUCUGUAGAGUUUAUGCUUUAUUUUUAAGUGUAUCCAGGAGAAAAUUUCUGGAAUAAGGAUGCUGCAGAUUUGGGUUGAGAUUGUGCAGAUUUGGGAUUGUCUCUUUAAUUUCACUUUUGAAUCGCAUUGCUAUCCUAGCAUCAAAGCAGCUGUUUUCAUAACAAGCCUUCUGUCACAUGGACACAAAUGGUUCGAGUACAUUACAUUCAAUUGGAAAAAUUGCUUAGGUUUAAUAUUUUAUUAAAAAAAAAAAAAAAGCUGUGCUAAUCUCUGCUAAUACAGAGACUAUGCUGUCCCUCUUCCCUUCUAUAUGUUCCAUUUUUAAAUGCUACUUCUCCAUUAUGAGGCAAGAAAAAUUGCCUUUGAUCGUAGAGUCUUAUUUUGGUCUCGAUUUGGGAGUGCCCAGCUAUGCUUGUAGUCAUAAGCUGUCUGCACUCCUAUUUAGAUGAGAUGGUGGAAGGACUGCAUUCUCACUGGGCAUUUGUCUCUUCCUGAAUUUAUUUGUUUUUGGAGCCUUUUUCUCCCUGAAUUAUAGGAGGCAUCGAUGCUGGGAGAGCAUUGCAGUCUCACUGCCGUUCUUCAAGAUCCUACAAGGAAAUCCUGAUCCAUGCUUCACCCUUCUUGGGAUUCUCCGUGCCCCUUACAAGUACAGAAAGAUUCCAUGGCCAACCAAAGGCCAUUUUGGCCAGCAGACACCAAGACCGCAUCGUGUCCCUCCGCAGCAGCAGCACCCUGUGAGCUGGCUGUGCUCUGACCCUGGGGAGCCCCAGCUGUGCGGUGCUGUGGCCUCUGCUGCCUGGAUGCUGUGAGUGGGAGCUGUGCUGCCUUCUCUUCCUUCUCCCACUUACAAUAUGUGGGCCCUGCCUCCUUUGGACUCCCAUCCUCUUAGGUCAGGCCUAGCUCCUUGCAGCAGCUCUGAAGCAUCGGGAGGUGCUGGGUAAGUGAUCUUGCAUGGUCAGCCCGUAGGUGACACACAGCUGGGGCAGUGCUGCACCCUGAGCACCCUCUGUGCCUGCUCCCAGGUGCCAAGGAAAGCAGAGCCUGAGCCAUGCUAAUUAAAACUCUUCUCUUAGUGCUCUUUGGCAAAGUGCAAAGAAAACCUUUUUUAUCCUCAGUGACUAAAAAUAAAUCCUAUUUUGGGUUUAAGAAGGAGCCGCAUGACUAAAACGAGCCGUUUGGUUUCAUUCAUGUUUGCUGUCUAUUAAUCCGUUCUCUUCACCCUCAGCAGAGUAUGACUCAGACUUUCUCAUUGUCUUCCUCCCUCACUAUGUGUGUUUUGACUUUAAAUCCUGCCGGCUGACGCACGCAGAGCUGACACCACGACAGCUCGAUCCAGCCGGCUCCCAGCAGACUCCUGAUCUUCACCGGCUGCUGAACGUAACACCCUGCCUGCUCUGCUGGUAUUUUUACAGCUAAUGUUGGUAAGCAGAUGACACAGGCUGGUGAAGAUCCUUGAAACUCCACGGGAGGAAACGCAUGAGUAUGUGUGUGGGAGAGGCCUGCAGAUAAAAAUACUGUGGCGGCUAUGGGAGAAGACACGCCUCAAUCUGUUGGUGGGUUGCUAUUCUCGUUCAUGGUAAUAGAAGUGGAGGCUGCACUGGAACAAGUACAGCAGUAGGAUCUUUCCCUGUUGAUUCACUUGCUGCCUUCCACUCUCCCUCCGGUGUGGCUUCUUGACUCCUCUCCCACCAGAAGCAAUGGCCAACCCAGCUCCAAGUCUUCCCAUCACCCGCCAGGCACUCAGCACCCCCAGCACUGCGGAGCCCCCAUUUUCCUUAUGCCAUUAUCUCUUCCCCUUCCAGUUUUGCUUAUGAAAUUUGAACCACUUAGCAUGGACUAAAUUUAGGGAGGCAUAAAGUAUUUGCGUACAAAUACACUUGAUUUUCCAAGUGUGAAAAAUAA